AAAUAAUCGAUCAGCAGGGAGCUUCGAUCUGCCGGGAAUGCAAACUGCCAGUCCCGAUUCCCGCCCUGAUGGUGGCCAAAAGGCUGACUCCUCCAAAGCCGUCGGCCGCUAGUUCCCAUCGCCCCCACCCCCCAUCCCACUUCGCCAGCUGCGGGCCGAACCCUCAUCCCAAAGGGGGGUGUAGAUAAGAGAAAGAGUUUUGAGAAAGAUUAGGGGGCUCGUAUCUGGAGAGGUUGUUUGGACAAGGCUAGGAGCUCUCAAAUGUAUUGAGGCUAACUCUAAAUGCGCAAACUAAAAGAGAAUUUGCAUCAGUUUGAGAGGUAGGACUCAAGUUUUUGUUAAGUGGGCUUUCAAGAAGCCAGAGACACUGGGCAAGCAUCAGAACAUAUAUCUGGAAUCAGGUUCCCUCCAGCACACGUAGCCUCGCUGAGCGAUGUCUAUUCCUUUAGUACUUAGCAGGAGUCAACGCCCAGUCUCCCCCCCCCCCACCCCCACCGAAUAGUGGAGUUUUCAUAAAGCCGAAGCAGCUGAACCUUCCCAGCCUCCCGCACACCUCCCCAACGCCGACACCGCACUCCCCCCGUGUGCACCUAAAGGGCUGACACAUUCACCCGAAGCCUUCAGAUACACUUUGCCUUGAAAGAGCUCCGACUGUUUAAAAAACAUCCUAGGAUCCGCAUCAUUUGCAUCUCUCUUCUUUCCUCCUUUCUCUCCCUCCCUUUCUACCCUCCCCCCCCCCAACUUUAGGAUCUUUAACUUUUUUCCAUCGCAAACAUGGGUAAAGUUUUUGGGUACCGACGCCCCGGUACAUUACGCAGGAGGUUAAAGCAGGCCGCGUGUCAAAGCCGAGGGGAUCCAGGUGAAUUACCAGCUUCUUUACGCCUUUGCCUGACACUCCCACCCCCACCCCGCUCGCCCCAACAUGAACUUGGAAACCGAACUUCAGGCCAAGAUGGAACCUCCCGGUCUCCGGAAGGCGAUUUCUCUGUUUAAUUCGCAGGAAGCUGCGCAGGCUGGGCCAGGCAACGCAAUCCUUUUCCAAUUACCGGGAGGACCAAACUGGGCCGGCAGCCUGCAAGCCCUCUCCGAACCCCAGGCGGCUUUGGCCCUCACCUGCGCCUUCCGACGGCUGCACGCGGACGUGUGACCACUGCAGUCCAGCAGGCCAGGCUUCGGCGCGGCUGGCUGUAGGGGAGGGACACAAGGAGGGGGGGGGUCAAGCCAAACAUCGAGAUGGGUACAUCUACGUUUAUGAUCCUUAAAUGAACUGCGAGGGAAAUGGUGUAAGUAUAAUUUAACGGAGAGAAAUUUACUGCGAAAUACAUUUCAAUGAUCAUCGUCUUUAAGAGUCCUUAGGGGCUCUCCAGCAAAGGCUUAAGUAACCGGUUUGGAGUUACCUCAACUCCGCGGCCAUGUUUUCAAAUUUGGAAAAGGCCAGUUUUGGUAAAGAUUUCUUUGACAAUGGAGUUUAUUUUGUAUUGUUGCUUUUUGGUAAAUUUGUUUUCUAGCAGAGAUGAAAAAAGAAGGUUCAGGUAAGUCACUCCUUUUCAAACAUAACCAAAAACUUCAAAGCAGUUGGAAAACUAUUGUGAGCUUCAACCAUGAUGUGUCAGGUUACCGUAAAAGUACUUUCAAUUACCUACACACAGGUUUUCCUCAAAGAAAGAGAUAGUUUGUGUUUGUUGUCUUAAAUAAACUCUUUAUAGUUUUAAAAAGUGUCUUCUUUCUUCUCCCCCCACCCCUUUUCCAUUUAUAACUGCUAACCUAAUGCUACUCCUAGGUCUUUAUAAGAUUGAUUCUGGACAAUCAAGGGACUAAAACACUUUUACAAUGUAAUUACAGUAGUACAAACUGUUUGCCCAAACCUCAUUCUGGAUAAGGAUUUUACAAUUAGCAAACAGUUAUUACAGUUGGGGCUUGCUGAGAGAAAUUGCACAGAGGAAGUCUAGAGUUGUAAUAUAGUAGCCAUAAAAAAAACCCCUCCUUUAGCAAGGCAGCAAUUAAUCAUCUAUUAAAAGGAAAAGGCAAAGGGAUAGUUCUAGGUAUCUUAGUAAACUACUACUGAUAUUUACCUGUUCUGUGAUAGCAUCUAUCCCUAACUUAUUUCAGAUACUUCCUUUUUGAAGUAAUAGCACGUUUAUUUUGCAAAAACUUGGUCUGGUGAAGGGUUCUGGCACUUGCCCGUAGCUCUCGAGACAUGUGCCUUCCAUCCUCAGCUUACUCUAAACAUCCCAGAACAUCUUCCCAAAGAUAGAGAGCUAAGACUUUAAAGGGGCAGGCUGGGGCCUAGGUCUCUAUUGUUUAGACCUUCCUAGCAAGGAGGCAUUUAAAGCAAGUGGUGCCCCUUUCCGAUGUUGGUACAGUCCUUUUUGAGCACUCCCCUCUAAUUUUCUGUUCUCCUAUAAGGGAUUGUGUCUCUGAAAAGACAUAUAUCCUGAAUUAGGCUUUUGUCCCCAAAGUUCACACUGAUGAGUCAGCUCCAAAACCCUCAGAAAUUAAAGAGGCAUCUCUUAAGGUAAAAUGUGUGUGUAUUUGCCAGCCCAGAAUAAACAAAAGACUGUUAAUCAAUUGAGUUUGGCAGCUGUGUUCACAGAAUGAUAAGAGUUUAUCAUCUGCCACCUAACUUUAAGAUGCCUGUUAAAAUGUUGUGAUUACUCCUUAGGUUGUCCUGUGGUGCGGAGGCUUGGGGUUUGUCCUUCAAGAACAUUCAUCGUCUGCAUCUCAACCCUCCACAUUAACAUUUGCAUUUCAAAAAACAGAAAUAGGAGGAGGGAAAGACAGUUUGAAGAAAAUGGAUUUAAAAUCUAGUAGAGAUAAUAGAGGAAUGCUUGAGAUAAGAGCCUGGAUGUGAUAUGAGAGAGGUACCAAGAAGUCAAAGCUAAUGAAUAGCUCUGAGAAAAGUGAAAUAAACUAUUUAGAGGUCUAUAAAAGGGGGAACCUGGUCAGGUGAUGUGAAAGGGGGUUAACUGAGUGGAUUAGGGAAGACGUUAAUCAUGUGCCCCAAAGCCAUCUGGGCUAGAAGACCUGGGAGAUUUGUUUACUGCAUUUUGCUUCAGAAAACAAUGUCUGGGUCCAGUUCAGAAGUCAAUGAGAGGUCAGUUCAGGCUCUCCAACCAUUGCGGGGGGGGGGGGGGGGGGGGGGGGGAAAUACCUAAGUCACUAUAUUCUAACUGGAUAAUGCAAAAGUUAAGAAAAAAAUUUUUUUUUAAGUAGGGGGAGAGUUGUUUUCAUUACUACCUUUCUAUUUCAAAUCAUUAAAAUGCUUUGGUCUCCAGAGGGGGAAAAAUUACACUGGUUAACAUAAUUACUAGCUCUGACAUUUUCAGAAGUUAUAGAGGUCUUUUAUUAAUUAAAUGGAGGGCUUAAUAAAAUAUUCCUAAUAAAAUUUAUGGUUGUCUUAAAACUUUCUAAACAGUGCUAUAAAUUCUUAAUAAAAUUAACUGGGAAAUGAGUUAUUAGCCCACACUUUACCCUCCCCCCCCCCCCCCCCCCCCCCCCNCCCCCAACUUCUACAUAAGGAGCGGCUGUAGAAUGAAAAAGGGAAAUAGAAGCCUUUUAGUAAAAUAUAAAUAUUAGCCAAAGACACACAUUGCUUUAGAAGAUGUGAGCUUUCAACUAAGUUAUUUCUAAUGGUUUCAUCCUCCAAUAUUCCCCCAAAGCUACUCACAACAAAACUUAGAAAACUCCUUCCCCUUCUCUACCACAUACUAUAUAUGCGUGUAUACGUAAGCUCAUUUGAAAUACAAUGCUCGAUUUUCUGGUCUGAGUUUUGUGUUAAGUUUAAUAAAAAGCACAGAUGCCUCAUGCAAAAGUCCAAUAUAGGACUUCUGAAGGUUCAGAGAGUAAAUAUUUUAUCAAUUCAAAGAUAAUUAAAAAUGAAAUGUCUUAUAAUUUCUCUCAGUAUAAUUUCUUUAAAGGUAACUUUGAAAUAACAAAUUUCUCAACCUUCAAGCUCCGCAUUUAUAACAGUGGUGCAUUAUCUGAAGCAGCAUUUUGUCGAGCAGAUAUACAAAACUUUUUCAUAUCAUUACGUUUUAAAACCUUGGCGAGUUAUCUUAAGUUUUGAGAUACUUCUCUGCUUCACAGAUACAAUACUGGCUGGUUGGCUGUUUAAAAUGAACAGGACUCUCAAACAUACUUCAACCAAAUAAAACAGCCUUGGUGGAUUUUUCAGCUUCUGAAGGCUUGAUCUUUUGUGCCGUCUACUGGACAAUGGAAAAACUACAGCCUCUAUGACUUAAGAAUCUAGUCCAAUAUUGGGGGAGGGGGAGGAGGUAGUGGCAAGAGAGUAUGAUUUGGUGCUAGUAAGUCGUAGGAGAGGAUAACAGGACCCAACCUAGACUCAUGGGACAGGUUUUGUGGUCUAAUCACAUCUAUGUUUUCAUAUCCAAGUUUAGGACCUUAUAUUAAGCCUAGGCACACCUAAACGACUUGACUAAGGCAAAAGGCUGUAUUUAAUACAACUGUAUAUGUGUCUGAGUACACAAAGUUGGCUUGGGAAUAGAAAGAAAAGAUGAUAGGACAAGUUUAGCAUCUCUGAAAAACAAUACUGGUGGUUUGCUUCGCUCUGAGUGUGCAUUCACUUGAUAGUCAAGGUAAAUAUAUCUACUGCCUAGAUAAUCGAAGAUGUACAAAUUAACUCUUGGAAUUUGAAACAUGAUGUUCAGUAAUCAAGAAUUGCACUUUUAGGAGGAGGGGAAAUGAAACUGGUAAUUAGAAAACUUUUAGUGCCGUUCUUUUUGGCAAUCUUGAAUGAAAAUGUGAAACUUCAGUGUUUUCACUUGGAGACCACAUGUGGGAGAAAGUGGGUGAAAUUCAUAGUCAGAUGCCUUUAUGUAGCAGAGGCUGUUUGAUGAUCUAUUAAACAUUUAAGAAAUAUUGUAUAUAUUUUGGUCAUGAUUUAAAAAAAUAUUUAUGGUGACCUAGCAUUCUGGAAGCUUUGUACAAAAAAAAAAUCGUGAAGCUAACUUCGACCUGUUUGAUAUUGACAUAGUUUCUGAAUAAUAAUUACCUUAGAGAGGUUAUUUUGUGACUUAAGAAACAAAUAAACAAAACCCAACACCAAUAAAAUGCAGAGAACUCAAGACGGUUUUGAUGGAAGAGACAUAAACUUGGGUGCAGGGCUCUUACAACUGUUCAUCUGCUUUUCUGAAGUUAAAAAUUCUUUAAUGCAUUUUAAUAAAAACUACUAGCACAUGACUAGUUAUUAGGGUGCCUUUUAAUAAAAAUUGAAGAGUGAAAAGGAGACAGCUUUUGGACAUUUUAUUGAUGCAUAAAUAUAUUUCAAUGAUCUACUUCAAAUAUACAUUUUGAUGUGGCACUAUGUCAGAAUGACUUUAAAAUAUUGUAUUAAAUAUAGAUAUAUCAGAGAACCUGAACUGACAUUGCCUACUUAAAGCAGUGAGAUUUCUUGCACUGCAGUGUGACAGAACAGGAUGGUUUCAAUUGUGCUACCCAGAUGGAGGGGGUGGUGGUGUGGUGAUGGGUAUCUUUUAAGCUUUAGCAUAAUCAACUGAACUAUGUGACAGAUUAUUACUUUAUGAGAUGCUAUGUGGAGCCAUUGGUCCAGAUUAAAACAACAAGGACAACCACCACCCUACCCACAAUCGCUAGAAAACAUAGAUAAUUCUUACAAGAACCAAUCACAGUUGAUGUAUUUUAAACAGCCGAGUGCUGUGAGAGGUCUGGGGAAAGUGCUCUAGUCAUCAAAGGCAAACAUUUACCUUUCAAAUAACAGGAUGAGCCAGAACGGUCAUGACUAGUAUCCAUGUUCAGCUGGAUAAAGGGACAUAUUUUGCAAAAAACCUUCAGGCAAAAAAAACAAAACAAAAACAAAAAACCAACAACAAAAAAACACAAAAAAACCUGAUUAUUCAUAAAUAAAUAUUUUAACAUUUCACUGACUUAUCUAACGAAUAAGAAAAACAUCGAAGGCUUCCUGCAGUUCAGAAAGAAUUCUAGUAGCCUGGAAAACACAGAAGGAAAGAACGAGAAGCCCAAGGACGCCUGCUGAGUAGUGAUUCACUUGUGAAUAUCUGAAAACGUACUUUUCAUGCCCUUAUUUAAAAAUGAAAAAUAAAUAUCAUCCUUCCUUGUCUUUUUGUUUUGUUUUUAAUUAACAUCAGACUAUGGUUAUGCUUGCUAAAAAGCGUAAUUCUUUCCAGGGGGUUUCUGCAAGAAAGGGCCAGUUUGAAAGCUUAUAACUAAUGGCAGAAGUGGAUGUAUAAGCCGCAAACAAAUCGUUUCGCAGCGGAGCCCACAGCCCUGAGAGACGCCCCUUCUUGCGAGCUCAUCAGGAUAACUUCAUUUACUGGCAGGUCGGCGGCCACUUCCGGGACUCUCUGUCGAGCGGUGUCCUUUCACCGCGGAGUCCUCAGCAGGGCUGCCCUGUCACCUGUGUGUGUUGAGGUGGCAGGUCCCCACGGCGCCCUGCAACGCAGGCUGGUCCCCGCGCCCCCAGCCACCCAGAGCCCCGGGCCUGCCUGCACCCCCGGGCGCACGGACUCCCCGGG
rnacentral:lncRNA from 1 species